rnacentral:rRNA from 1 species
UACGGAGGGUGCAAGCGUUAUCCGGAUUCACUGGGUUUAAAGGGUGCGUAGGUGGGCAGUUAAGUCAGUGGUGAAAUCUCUCGGCUCAACCGAGAAACUGCCAUUGAUACUAUUGAUCUUGAAUACAGUUGAGGUGGGCGGAAUGUGUCGUGUAGCGGUGAAAUGCUUAGAUAUGACACAGAACACCGAUUGCGAAGGCAGCUCGCUAAACUGUGAUUGACGCUGAGGCACGAAAGCGUGGGGAUCAAACAGG